rnacentral:rRNA from 1 species
UACGUAGGGUGCAAGCGUUAUCCGGAAUUAUUGGGCGUAAAGAGCUCGUAGGCGGUUUGUCGCGUCUGCUGUGAAAACUGGAGGCUCAACCUCCAGCCUGCAGUGGGUACGGGCAAACUAGAGUGCGGUAGGGGAGAUUGGAAUCCCUGGUGUAGCGGUGGAAUGCGCAGAUAUCAGGAGGAACACCGAUGGCGAAGGCAGAUCUCUGGGCCGUAACUGACGCUGAGGCGCGAAAGCGUGGGGAGCAAACAGG